AGAGGAUCUGAAAAGACAUCAUGGGAAAAAAUCAGAAGCUCAAAGAGCCAGAUCAAUAAUCAUAUGCAAGAAUCAUGAUAUCACGACUGGGAGUCAGCACAUCUUUAUCAUCCCUAACUUGAACACAGCGAGCCGUUCUGCAACUCUGUAUUUCUCCGUAUGAUCUGCUUACACUCUGGAUAAUCAACUUCUGCUGGAGCUGGCAUGGGAUUUCUGCCCUCUCUGCAUUCCUGGAGGUUGCACAAAGGAAAGACAACCCAGUCUGCAGCGUGCGUGCUCUGGAGCCCCUAAAGCACGGCAGUGCUCAUCGGAAAAACAGUAUUACAUCGUCUUCCCAUGAAAGACACUCAAUGUAAGGCACUCAAGCUGCUGUUGACCAUAGUCUGUAAUCGUCUGUGAGAAUUUGAUGGCAGGAUGGACAGCGGAACCACGAGAUGGGAGAACCUGCUGGUGCCUUCGCGCAAAGUCCCCCGAGGCAUUAGCAGACUGGUUGGUGAAACACAGGCAUACAAAGGACAUGAGACAGAACAAAGCAGUGUGCCCACCCAACUGUGCAAGAAGACAAUAAGAAACGUACUCGCUUCGGCUACAAAAGUUGCUUUCCGGGUGCUUGCAAAUCCUGCAUUCUCCACACUGAGGGGAAAAGAGUGGAAUGACUUUAUCACCUGGAUGAAGAAAAACAAAAUGACUUAAAUGUCUGUCCAGAAAUCAAUAAAGCAACAACUUGAAGCUUAUUAGAGACAUUGUGUCUUUGAAAAGUCUCCAGGAGAUGAGGCCUCACCCAGGCUAUGUCAGUCUAAUUAGUCAUUCGCAUUUAAAGCGCCUGAAGAUUCCCGGGAGAGAAAAAUGAGCCGAAACCAGCCAUUUCCACCCGUCAGCAGUUAAACUUUGUUGUGUGCCUCAGUUUCUCUUAGGAGCUUUGUACAUAUCCUAAUCAAACCUUGGAUAUGCUUGCUGCUAAGAAGAAAUAUACACUUUCUCUGCAAAUGAGUUGCUAUCUUCCUGUUAGAUUUUGGCGAGAACUGAUAUGAUAGUUUCAAUAAAAGUAAGAUUAAAGAAACACUAUACAGGCAAUAUUUUAUAGUAAAAAUAAAACAAAUUAAACUUGAUCAUGAAAUCAAAUUAAAGUGGGAAUCUUGAUAGUUAGCUUUUGCCCUUUUAUUGUUUAAGACUUUGUUGUUGGUGUUGGUUUUUUUCUUUUUGUGUGCAUGUGAGAGUACCUGUGUGUGUGUGCCAUCUCUGUAUGUGUGCCCUUGGAAGCCAGCAAAGGGUGUUGGGUCCCCAGGAGCUGGAGUUACAAGUGGUUGUGAGUAACCCAGUUGGGUGCUCUAUAAGAGCAUGGUAUGCCCUGAGCCACGUUAUCAUUUCUUCGUGGUCCAGUUUUGGCUUUUUAAGGUGAUUGUGCUUCUCCUACUAUGAAAUAAAGGCUUAAAAAAUCUUAGUUAUUUUUUGAGGAAGCAUAAUAAAAACAUGACAAGCCACAAAUUGCUUUGGAAAUCUCAGUUCUUAAUGAGUUAAAUACUUUCUCUGGGAAAUAACAAGAAACUUUUGUUUUUUAAAGAUAAUUAUUUAUGAAUUAUUGAUUUUUCUGCCAUAGAAGAAGCAACCUGAAGAGUAAAGGUGUCAUUUUGCUGCUAGGUUUGUUGUUGUUGUUUUGUUCUUUUCUGAAUAAAAGAAAUAAUACAAGCUUAA
rnacentral:lncRNA from 1 species